UACAGAGGUGGCAAGCGUUGUUCGGAAUUACUGGGCGUAAAGGGCGCGUAGGCGGUCUUCUAAGUCUUGUGUGAAAUCCCUCGGCUCAACUGAGGAACUGCACGGGAUACUGGAUGACUUGAGUUCGGGAGAGGGAAGCGGAAUUCCGGGUGUAGCGGUGAAAUGCGUAGAUAUCCGGAGGAACACCGGUGGCGAAGGCGGCUUCCUGGACCGAUUACUGACGCUGAGGCGCGAAAGCGUGGGGGGCAAACAGG
rnacentral:rRNA from 1 species